UGAGGAAUAUUGGUCAAUGGGCGAGAGCCUGAACCAGCCAAGUCGCGUGAAGGAAGACAGUCCUAAGGAUUGUAAACUUCUUUUAUACGGGAAUAACGGGCGAUACGAGUAUUGCAUUGAAUGUACCGUAAGAAUAAGCAUCGGCUAACUCCGUGCCAGCAGCCGCGGUAAUACGGAGGAUGCGAGCGUUAUCCGGAUUAAUUGGGUUUAAAGGGUGCGUAGGUUGUUCGGUAAGUCAGCGGUGAAACCUGAGCGCUCAACGUUCAGCCUGCCGUUGAAACUGCCGGGCUUGAGUUCAGUGGCGGCAGGCGGAAUUCGUGGUGUAGCGGUGAAAUGCAUAGAUAUCACGAGGAACUCCGAUUGCGAAGGCAGCUUGCCAUACUGCGACUGACACUGAAGCACGAAGGCGUGGGUAUCAAACAGG
rnacentral:rRNA from 1 species